rnacentral:rRNA from 1 species
UAAGGAAUAUUGGACGAUGGAGGCAACUCUGAUCCAGCCAUGCCGCGUGAAGGAAUAAGGCCCUAUGGGUUGUAAACUUCUUUUAGACGGGACAAAACCCCUUUACGUGUAAAGGGUUGAUGGUACUGUCAGAAUAAGCAUCGGCUAACUUCGUGCCAGCAGCCGCGGUAAUACGAAGGAUGCAAGCGUUAUCCGGAAUUAUUGGGUUUAAAGGGUGCGUAGGCGGACUAAUAAGUCAGUGGUGAAAGCCUGCAGCUUAACUGCAGAAUUGCCAUUGAUACUGUUAGUCUUGAGUACAGUUGAGGUAGGCGGAAUGUGUCAUGUAGCGGUGAAAUGCUUAGAUAUGACACAGAACACCGAUUGCGAAGGCAGCUUGCUAAGCUGUAACUGACGCUGAGGCACGAAAGCGUGGGGAGCAAACA